UACGGAGGGAGCUAGCGUUGUUCGGAAUUACUGGGCGUAAAGCGCACGUAGGCGGCUUUGUAAGUUAGAGGUGAAAGCCCGGAGCUCAACUCCGGAACUGCCUUUAAGACUGCAUCGCUUGAAUCCAGGAGAGGUGAGUGGAAUUCCGAGUGUAGAGGUGAAAUUCGUAGAUAUUCGGAAGAACACCAGUGGCGAAGGCGGCUCACUGGACUGGUAUUGACGCUGAGGUGCGAAAGCGUGGGGAGCGAACAGG
rnacentral:rRNA from 1 species